rnacentral:rRNA from 1 species
UGGGGAAUUUUGGACAAUGGGCGAAAGCCUGAUCCAGCAAUGCCGCGUGUGUGAAGAAGGCCUUCGGGUUGUAAAGCACUUUUGUCCGGAAAGAAAUCCUUGGCUCUAAUACAGUCGGGGGAUGACGGUACCGGAAGAAUAAGCACCGGCUAACUACGUGCCAGCAGCCGCGGUAAUACGUAGGGUGCAAGCGUUAAUCGGAAUUACUGGGCGUAAAGCGUGCGCAGGCGGUUUGCUAAGACCGAUGUGAAAUCCCCGGGCUCAACCUGGGAACUGCAUUGGUGACUGGCAGGCUAGAGUAUGGCAGAGGGGGGUAGAAUUCCACGUGUAGCAGUGAAAUGCGUAGAGAUGUGGAGGAAUACCGAUGGCGAAGGCAGCCCCCUGGGCCAAAUACUGACGCUCAUGCACGAAAGCGUGGGGGAGCAAACAGGAUUAGAUACCCUGGUAGUCCACGCCCUAAACGAUGUCAACUAGUUGUUGGGGAUUCAUUUCCUUAGUAACGUAGCUAACGCGUGAAGUUGACCGCCU